rnacentral:rRNA from 1 species
UACAGAGGUCUCAAGCGUUGUUCGGAUUCAUUGGGCGUAAAGAGCUCGUAGGCGGCUCGUCGCGUCGACCGUGAAAACCCGCGGCUUAACUGCGGGCUUGCGGUUGAUACGGGCGGGCUAGAGUUCGGUAGGGGAGACUGGAAUUCCUGGUGUAGCGGUGAAAUGCGCAGAUAUCGGGAGGAACACCUAUGGCGAAGGCAGCUCGCUGGGACGUUACUGACGCUGAGACGCGAAAGCGUGGGGAGCAAACAGG